AAUUACCUCAUCCGUGAAGGGUGAAACCAUGCGGUCCACGAACGCAAUUUAUAUUUUAAUCGACCUAUACAAGACCUUUAUCUGUCGAACGCCAGGCAAUGUCUCGCCCAUCUACCCCAUCUGCCGCUCGCCACCCUCUACACCGUCAUCUCGACGAAAGGAAAAUGGGAACAGAUAGGAAUAAAAACAAAAUCUAUCUAUAUAUAUACACACGUGUGUAUAUGUAUAAAAAACGGAGUCUCUCAUACUUGGACGAACGUGGCCCACAGAACGAUCUCGUUGAACCGAGGCCAGGAGACCGGCUGCGAGAUUUAAAUAUGGACGCCGCCGCGCCGUCGGCGCGGAAAAUACAAAAGAGUGCGCGGGACGUUCGUCACUGUCUCGGUCCGGCUGCGAUUGACUGGCGAAAUCGUGCGAGAAUGUUAAACGAUAAUAAACCCCUCCACUCCGAUACAAUUUAGGCACGGAAGGCUGACCAAGUUCUACAGACUCCCUGUAGCCUGUCAAACUGAUUGCGCACGCUAAAUCGUCCAAACCGAAUGAAACUAAUUGCACUCCCUCCUUCUCUACGUGAAUUUUACCGUUCCUUAACCGAUCGAAUUUCAUUACGAGCAGCUGUAAAAAUAAUUUAACACAUGUCGGCUGUCAGGCUAAAUCGUACAUAUGGAUAAAAGUCGGCAUAAAUGGUUGGCAAGAAACAAAAUGGUUCUCUACAAAACCUUUUGGAAUAAGUGAAAAUAACCGUGUUCUGUAAACCUGAUGUUAAAGUGGUCGAUUUUCUAUCUGCUUUCUAUAAAUUACAAGUAUCGUUGAUAUCACCCAACACGUAUUAUGAAAAUAAUUAUUUGUGUGUAUGCACGACGUAUGCGAUCAAUGAGUUAAAUUUAAAUACUGGGAAUUCCCUGUCGUAUUUUUCGAAACUUCUUGAUUUAAUAUCGAGCUAUUGUAACACUCGUUACGCAAGAGCCCUUCGAAGGCAGCCAAUAAACAGGCCACUUCUCGAAAACCUUCGAUAACCUUGGAGAUCUUCCUAGAUAAAAAGAAAAAGAAAUAUAUACGUGUCGAAUCGAGUAACCUCCUCCUUUUCGAAGUCGAUUAAAAAGAUAAGAUAUCAUCGAUAACUACCUAAAUUUUGGAUUCGGUAACCAACUAUCGUUCGGGGGUGUUUUGUUACCGCAAGGAUUAAUAAGACUGUUGAAGACGACACAACUAUUACGCAACUUGUGUACUCCAUUCAAUAGUACUUUAUGAAUGCGGAACUCGACAUGUUGUCUGCCAUAAUAUCAGAUAGACAAGGAAAGGAUUCAAUCUGUCCUCCUUAAUGUGCUUUCGCAGGAUGAAUCGCUCGUUCGCGGUAAAUCACAGCGAGAUGGUGACUCAGAUGUAACACUUGGAAAACUCGAUUGAAUGAGAUGCCUGAGGCUUACGUAACGGCGACGAUAUCGACACAGCGAGUUGCAGCGGCGGCGAUGUUUGCGAUCGGCAAGGCCAUGCCUCCAGAAUUUACUGGCUACCACGUUACCCGAUGGGUAAAAGGUUUCGUACAGACGACUACAGCGAGUAACUUUAUCAUUCGAAUACUUUACACUUUCUUACAUCGUCGCUUUAUAAUUUCUUCUAUACCGCGGGAUAAAGUAAUCGAGGAGGUAUUCUAGUCUAGAGCUUUUAAAAUAUUGACUUUUUUGCACUUUCUCAAAGUAUAGAGUCUAUACUAUACUAUACUAUACUAUACUAUAGAUUUUUAAAAAUAUGUCUGUAGAAAUUUCUACGAAAAAUAAGCCACGGAGAUUGGACCCCACGAUCUUCAAAGUCGUCGGUUUCUUCUACACGACCAAUCCCGUACCCUGCAAUUCGUGUUCUUCUUGAACUCCUUAUUCUUGACUUAGGGGUAUCGCGAUACUAUAUGUACAUCUACCAAAGGAUUUGAUUAAAUUUGGAAAAUUAAUGAAGUUAGGGACGUUUAAAGAAAAGGUGUCCGCAAUGACAUAUAAUCGGCAAAAUAAUGACUGAAAAUAAGUCGUACAUUAAUGAAAAAGCACAGAAUAUUUGUCAUCGAGAUAUAGAAUGGAGCCUGCGAUUUUAAAUGAUCACCUUUGUAUAAAAAUAUAUACGAUAUCGAUCAUAAAAUCUGAGAUAAUAUUUGAAAUAACAUUGUUUGAAAGGUGGUCGAGUGUGCUCUGGGAUUCGUAGAAGGUGUGCAAAGAAAUGAACGGCCGAGCAAUUAGUAAGAAAUCUCCGCGAAGAAAAUCCGUCGCGCGGCGAUUGCUGCAAGGUGGACAAGAGAAAGAAUUCGAUGAAAAUGUCCCAUAAAAUGGACAGGAUAAAGAACGUGAGAUUUCUCGCUUCGGGAUUCAUUAAAGGCCAGAAGGCUGACGAUCUUACGCGUAUACCUCGUACCAAACGAAUCGUGAAGCUGCGCGCCUUUCGCUUCCGGUUCACCGAUCUCUCCACAUUCGUUAAGCCGCGCGUUCUGUUCCCGACAUUUAUGCGACCACUUUCGCUUGGCCUGGCCACGAUUCUCCGCUACUCUUUCCAAUUCAUCCUCCCGAGCAAAUAACGCCUACGCUUACGAAUCUUCGACUAACAUCUUCCGAAUAUUCGUUUCUGCUGUAACACACGUUUGCGGGACAUUUUAAUUACGUAUUUCUAUCAUUAGGGAACUGAACUGGGGAACUUGGGG